rnacentral:rRNA from 1 species
UACAUGGGGUGCAAACGUUGCUCGGAAUCAUUGGGCGUAAAGCGCGCGUAGGCGGUUGCUUAUGUCGGAUGUGAAAGCCCUCGGCUUAACUGAGGAAGUGCAUCCGAAACUGGGCAGCUAGAGUACGAAAGAGGGUCGCGGAAUUCCCGGUGUAGAGGUGAAAUUCGUAGAUAUCGGGAGGAACACCGGUGGCGAAGGCGGCGACCUGGGUCGAGACUGACGCUGAGGCGCGAAAGCGUGGGGAGCGAACAGG